GGUCUUAUCUCUCCCUCAGGAACGCUGAGUCAGCCAUCUUGAAUUUGCCUUGAUGCGGGGAAGUCUUGGCCAGCCCGUGUGGAUGUGGAACAAAGUUUAAUUUGUUUUUAUAUGUUUGUAAUGCGCACUUUUAUCCCCCCGCUUCAAACCACCACCACCUCAGUUUUUUUCAUUAGUCUUAUUGCCCUCAUUUUCUUCAGCGCCGUCUUAUCACCAGCCCUGAUUUGCGGGUUUCCUGGAUGAACUACAUUUGGACAGUGGAGGAAGGUCCAUGAGUCUGAACUCUCUGGCGGGGGCCAAAAUCAUAACUUUAUCCCUGCUUCCCGGUUUCUGCCGGUUGUUGUUUUCGCUGUUCGCCGGUAAUGCACGUGAGUACGGCUCAAGUGUGUAGUUGUGAGAUCAUCUCGAAAUCAUUUUAACAGUUCAGAUAUCGGACUACAAAGAGUGCUACAGAGAGUCAGCGUUUCACCAUCAGACAGGUGCCAAUAGUUAGCAGAUGGUCCAGACCUCACUGACACUCCGGUGGCUCUCCUGACAGUUGAUGACACUACUGAUGCGGCCCUCUUCAGCCCUGAGAGCAUCUGUAUUGUUGUGGAGGAUGAAAUACUUGUGAGUGGUCCCACAAAUCUGGCUGACUCAUUUCUCCUGCUCCUUGGGUACGUCUUUGCACUAGACCUACAGUACCCAAAGAAUCUCGAACUUACAUUCACAUUUAUCCAAAAAGUUGUGAUGUGUCUUGAGGACAACAAACCACUGAAAGGGCGUCUAAUGACGCUGAAGAAUGAUUUGUUCAAUGAGUGAAUCACUCAGAAUGGAUUAUUUGUUGAGCUGAGUAUUGAGGAAGUUUUUUGUUUUUUUUCCCCUCUUUACAAAUGUAAUCAUUUGCCUCUUACCUCAGAUUUAAGAUGUGACGCUGUUUGCCUCUUCUACCUCAGAUUUAAUACAUUGAUUGUUAAUAGAUAAAUUUCACAACAUUGACGUAUUGCCCAGCCAAAUUUUUUGUACUGAAUAACUUGUGGGAAACGACUGUUCAAUUCAUGCACUACACAUGUUUAAUGUUCUGUUGCCUAAUGCCUACCUUGAUGCUCUACCUUGAUGUUGCCAGUUGAAGUACGGCACAGUAGAAACCAGUACUUUCUUUAAAAACGUUUUGGCACUUACUGUUCCUUGAAGGCUGCAACUCACUUUUUUAAAAUAAAACAUUCAAAUAGUGUUAAAUGGCUCCACAUUCUAAUAGUUGUCAUUGCUGUUGAGGAUGGAUUAUACUUAGAAUCUUAUUGAAUUUUAUCAUGAAUCCUUUGUGAGUUUUUAUCAUAAUGUUUAUUGAAUAAUGUGAGCUGGAGACCCAGAAUACUGAAUCUACCCUCUGUAGCAAUGACCACUAUCAGAAUAUGGAACUAUUAACACUUAAUGUACUUUAAAACAGAUUUUGUUUUUGAGUCAUUUCCUUUUCCUUUGGUUUUAAUUUAUGACAAGCACUUUGUUUUGACUGAGCUCCUUUGAUUCGUGCCUUUUAAAAAGCACAUUGUGUUGAAUAAAAAAAGUUGUUAAAUUGUCACUGUGGUGUCACUUUCAUGUUUUCUAAUAUUAUUAGCUGAUUAUAAUUGUGUAG